rnacentral:miRNA from 1 species
UCUGACAGUGCACUGAAAACG